CCUACGGGAGGCAGCAGUGAGGAAUAUUGGUCAAUGGACGAGAGUCUGAACCAGCCAAGUCGCGUGAAGGAUGACUGCCCUAUGGGUUGUAAACUUCUUUUAUAAAGGAAUAAAACGAGGCACGUGUGCCUUUUUGCAUGUACUUUAUGCAUAAGGAUCGGCUAACUCCGUGCCAGCAGCCGCGGUAAUACGGAGGAUGCGAGCGUUAUCCGAAUUUAUUGGGUUUAACGGGAGCGUAGAUGGGUUGUUAAGUCAGUUGUGAAAGUUGGGGGCUCAACCGUAAAAGUGCAAUUGAUACUGGCAGUCGUGAGUACAGUUGAGGUAGGUGGAAUGCGUGGUGUAGCGGUGAAAUGCGUAGAUAUCACGAAGAACCCCGAUUGCGAAGGCAGCUUACUAAACUGUGACUGACAUUGAGGCUCGAAAGUGUGGGUAUCAAACAGGAUUAGAUACCCUUGUAGUC
rnacentral:rRNA from 1 species